GACGAGCCACACGAACGUUAUUCGGAUUUACUGGGCUUAAAGGGUGCGUAGGCUGCGCGGAAAGUUGGGUGUGAAAUCCCUCGGCUCAACCGAGGAACUGCGCCCAAAACUACCGUGCUCGAGGAAGAUAGAGGUAAGCGGAACUUACGGUGGAGCGGUGAAAUGCGUUGAUAUCGUAAGGAACACCUGUGGCGAAAGCGGCUUACUGGGUCUUUUCUGACGCUGAUGCACGAAAGCUAGGG
rnacentral:rRNA from 1 species